rnacentral:lncRNA from 1 species
CAAAUAAUGGCAGGUAGUUUACAAUCAUGGCAGUACAAAUCAGGUAUUGAAAUAUAGAAUACAGCUAAAUAUUAACAUGUCCAGCUCCAGAGAGCUAAAACACAUUGUCGGGUGCGAGUUCUCUUUAGGAUUCUACUCCUGUAGUUCCUUGUACAGCAACUUUUGACGAAUUAAGGCCAAAAUCUGCGAGUUAUAAAUCAGAAAAGUUAGGAAUAUAAUCAAGUGAAGCCAUGCAUAUAACAUUCUUCUAACAAUGAAAAAUAGCUGCAGAAUUUGAGAUCUAAUAAGAAACCAUGCAUAUAGCAUUCUCGCAACAGCAAGACUGAGAUAUAUUUGGGAAGGGAAAAUGACAAGUAUCAACCCAGUGCAAGAUAACACAACAAAUAUGUCAAAGUUAUUCAGAUUUCCUGAUGUGUGUGUCAUAUUAUACAUGCAUCAAGCAUCAGGUGACCAAGCAAACUAUUCUGGAAUAGAUACAAAACAAGCAUGUAUUGGCCAUCCUACUGGUAGCAAGUACAUAAAGGUAAUCACUUAACAAGCAGCGCAAACAUGAAUGAGUCACAUAACUAAGUACAAUCCAAUAUCCCAGCUGAGAGCGAACAUGUAUUUGGCAUUUCAGGAUUUCAAUACAUGCACGACAGAGAGUGGCGCUAUGUUCUUACCAUGGCACAAGCGAGAGAUGUCCCCGACGAUGCCCUGCUUCUCCAGUUCGCACUAAGGCUCAACCAGCUCCGCGGUGUGGAUGAUGCCCCCUCCUUGCUCCAUCCAGAAGGCAGGCCACGGACUAGGAAGCCCUGCAUAUUACAAUUUGCACAAGUUGGGAGAAUACAAGGAAUUGGUAUCAAGCAGAGCACAAGUUGAGAUAAAGUUACGGUCCAGGAGCCGACCUUCCAAGGGAGUAGCAUGAUGCGUCAUCGCGGUGCCUUCAUCUGGAGUUGCAGGCCGGAGUUGUGAGCUGCUUCUUUGCUCCCCCACAUAGCACGCCUAGGUUCUCCUAACAUACCAACUCGAAAGACAAAAACAUGAUUAGGGAGCUAGUACAUCAGAAAAGGAAUCAAUGCACGAAUGACAUACACACCUAAAAAAAUAAAAUCAGUAUUUCACAUAUUAUUAGAAUUGCAUAUUAGAUGUCUGCAAGAUAAGUGUUGCUUCAUAUAAGAUGUUUAGUUAUUUAACAAUCAGUAUGCUGCAGGAAAUUUUGUUUGCCAUGUCACCCAAUGUUUACUAUCAAAUAGAAAAUAUUCACUGUUAAUGCAUUGAGAUGAUUUUAGCCCUUCACAUGAUGGUUCAUUGUUAUCCAUGUUAGCACAUCAGGCUUGGAGCUUACGUAUAUAACAAGAAAAGUAGAUUAAGCAAUGCAUCCAGAUAACACAAGGAGGCAAGCACUAGUAAAUCUUGACUCUCAUGCCACUACAUGUACAUAACAAGUAUUUGACACAUUCCUGGAAGCAUGCAAAUACAGGCAAUAUUAUUUGUCUAAUGAAAUACAUGACAUAUUCUCCUCGUGUAUUCUCCAAUUAAACACUUGACAGUGGCCAGAGCGUAACAAACAAAGGGCGAGACAAGUCUUCGCCUUGCAACAAGGGGACUCAUACCCAUCCAAAUCGGAACAAAUUGAACCCGUGGCAACAACUUCUAUAUAAAACAUUUGCUCAAAAUGAUGCUCAAGAGGAAGACACACUUUCUCAACAUUGCAUUCCAAUCAUAUAGACCAAAUUGCAAAAAUAAGAACAGUGGAUAAAAUCAUAGUCUAGAUCACGCCGCAAAGAAACAUCAAAAUCAUAGAACAUAUAGGUUCCAUCAUGACUUUAAGAAACAUUGCGCUAGAGAAGUAGGCUUGCAAUGCAAACUUUCUGCAAAUGGUUGCAAAACAAACCACCAACAAUCAGAAGAAUGAGCAUGUUAGUUAGACUGUAUGUGCCUACACACACAAAAUUCAAAACUAUAACUAAGGCGAGAGCGGAAAGAUAUGGGGGCAGUAAGUGUCGACGAAGGACUCGACCAUCUCCCUCUGCUCCUGCUUAGUCUUCCUCACCAUGGCUUAUUCUCCCGGGCCUGCACGCAACACUGCCCCAUUCCUUCAGACAACCAGACAAGAUGUGCACAAUUGCCGUAUUGCUGUUCAACAUACGAAAGAUGC